rnacentral:tRNA from 1 species
GGUGAGUAGAGCUCAGUGGUAGAGCACGUGCUUAGCAUGCACGAGGUCCUGGGUUCAAUCCCCAGUAGCUCCA